rnacentral:rRNA from 1 species
GGUGAGUAACACGUGGGCAACCUGCCUGUAAGACUGGGAUAACUUCGGGAAACCGAAGCUAAUACCGGAUAGGAUCUUCUCCUUCAUGGGAGAUGAUUGAAAGAUGGUUUCGGCUAUCACUUACAGAUGGGCCCGCGGUGCAUUAGCUAGUUGGUGAGGUAACGGCUCACCAAGGCAACGAUGCAUAGCCGACCUGAGAGGGUGAUCGGCCACACUGGGACUGAGACACGGCCCAGACUCCUACGGGAGGCAGCAGUAGGGAAUCUUCCGCAAUGGACGAAAGUCUGACGGAGCAACGCCGCGUGAGUGAUGAAGGCUUUCGGGUCGUAAAACUCUGUUGUUAGGGAAGAACAAGUACGAGAGUAACUGCUCGUACCUUGACGGUACCUAACCAGAAAGCCACGGCUAACUACGUGCCAGCAGCCGCGGUAAUACGUAGGUGGCAAGCGUUAUCCGGAAUUAUUGGGCGUAAAGCGCGCGCAGGCGGUUUCUUAAGUCUGAUGUGAAAGCCCACGGCUCAACCGUGGAGGGUCAUUGGAAACUGGGGAACUUGAGUGCAGAAGAGAAAAGCGGAAUUCCACGUGUAGCGGUGAAAUGCGUAGAGAUGUGGAGGAACACCAGUGGCGAAGGCGGCUUUUUGGUCUGUAACU